rnacentral:tRNA from 1 species
UCUUUAGUGGUAUAGCGGUUAGUAUUUGUGCCUGUCAUGCGUGAGACCAGUGUUCAAUUCCCUGCUUGAGGA